UACGAAGGGAGCUAGCGUUGUUCGGAAUCACUGGGCGUAAAGCGCACGUGGGCGGAUGUGUCAGUCAGGGGUGAAAUCCCGGAGCUCAACUUCGGAACUGCCUUUGAUACAGCACGUCUUGAGUCCGAUAGAGGUGGGUGGAAUUCCUAGUGUAGAGGUGAAAUUCGUAGAUAUUAGGAAGAACACCGGUGGCGAAGGCGGCCCACUGGGAUCGGUACUGACGCUGAGGUGCGAAAGCGUGGGGAGCAAACAGG
rnacentral:rRNA from 1 species